rnacentral:rRNA from 1 species
CCCGCCCGCGUGAUGCUGAAGAAGGCCUUUUGGUUGUAAAGCUCUUUCCGUCAGUGAAGAAGACCUAAGCGGCUUAGAUACCCGUUACCGAUGACAUUAUACGUGCACAAUAACCACCGGCUAACGUCUGUGCCAUCAGCCGUCGGCAAUACUAAGGGUGCAAGCGUUAGUCGAAUUACUGGUCGUAACGCAAGCGUAGGUGCCUUGAUCAGUCAUAUGUGAAUCCCCGGCGCUUAACCUGUGAACUGCAUCUAUACUGUUAAGCUCCAGUAGGUGAGAGGAGAAUUAGAAUUCCUGGUGUAGCGUGUGAAAUGCGUAAAGAUCUGCACGGAAUACCGAUGGCAAACGCAGCUUCCUGGCAUCGUACUGACACUGAGGCUCGAAAGCGUGGGUAGCAAACCCGAUUACAUACCCUGGUAGUCCACGCCGUAUACCAUGUCUACUACUCCUUGGGUCCCUUGAGGACUUACUGACGCAACUACGCUACUAAGUAGACCGCCUGGGGAGUACGGCCGCAAGGUUAAAACUCAAAUGAAUUGACUGGGGCCCGUCACAAGCGGUGGAGCAUGUGGUUUAAUUCUAUGCAUCGCGAAGAACCUUACCUGGUCUUGACAUACACAUUAAUCUUGUAUAGAUACGAGAGUGCCUUCGGUAAUUGUGAUACAGGUGCUGCAUGGCUGUCGUCAGCUCCUGUCCUGAGAUGUUGGGUUAAGUCCCGCAACGAGCGCAACCCUUGUCCUUAUUACCACGGGUUAAGCCGGUAACUCUAAGGAUACUGCCAUGACAAACUGCAGAACGCGGGACUACGUCAUCAUCAUGGCCCUUACGACCAGGGCUACCUCGUGCUACAUGGUAGGUACUAACAUCUACCCUAUGUGAUGCGAAUCUCAAAAAACCUAUCUAAUCCAAAUGGAUCUGCAACUCACUCCAUGAAUAGGAAUCCUAAUAAUCCAUCAAUUGCCCCGUGAAUACUCCCGCUGUUCCCCGUCCCU